UGAUAAUAUAAGGAAGAUUCCACGAGACAUACAGCUUAAUUCAUUCGAUAUUGUAGCAGACUUGAAUUCGAUAAUAUAAUGGCCUUUCCAUGGCUUCAUUUCCUCUGAAUUUCCUGCAUUGACAGACGACGUCGUUUUCAUCAUUUCUCAUCUCAAUCACUCUCUCUAUAUAUAUUGAUAAACAAGGCAAUAUAAGCAAUUAGCAAAAAAUCAUAAUAAUAUCAAGAUGAAGAUGAGGCAGCUAUCAUGGAUGGUCUUAAGCUUCUUAUUUGCUUUUCUUAUUCUGUCGUCUCAACAUCCCUCCUUUGCCGCCCGCCCCGGCCCCCGCCGCUUCUGUAGUAAAUAUGAAGAAGAAGAACGAGGUGCUCUGGACUGUAUCCCAAAACGAGCCCCUCCAUCCCCAGCAGGAGGUGUGCGUGGACAUCCUUAACAAGAGACAGUACAAGAAAUAAUAGUUAUAGAGGCGACUCUAGGUCGCUUUUUGAAAUUUUAUAAUAUGAUAACAUUGGUUGUGCCUAUUUCGGUUGAUGUGAGAAUAUUGUAUUUUACUAUUUUCAUCACAAUGUAUCUUGAAUUACUAUUUUCACAUUUAUAUUCUUCUCAAUAAAUUUUUGUCAUUUUAUUUCUUGUUCGAGUGAUAUAUAAUUUAUGAGAUUACAUAUAGUAUAAUGAGUAUUUGGUAUAAUAAAAUAAAAUAAAAUAUAUUGCAGUAUA